CGGGCUCAUAACCCGAAGGUCGUCGGUUCAAAUCCGGCCCCCGCAACCA
rnacentral:tRNA from 1 species